rnacentral:rRNA from 1 species
UACAGGGGGGGCGAGUAUUAUUCUACAUGACUGGGCGUAAAGGAUAUGUAGGUUGUUUUUUAAAUUUUAAAAAAAAGCCUAUAUAAAAAUUAUAGAUUUUUUUAUUAUAUUGUAAAACUUUGAGUUUAUAGGAGGUAAUAGAACAUCCAAGAGUAAAUGUGAAAUGUUUUGAGACUUGGAGGAAUUCCAUAUAGCGAAAGCGAUUACCUUGUUAAAACUGACACUGAAAUAUGAAGGUGUGGGGAGCAAACAGG